UACGUAGGGGGCUAGCGUUGUCCGGAAUCAUUGGGCGUAAAGCGCGUGUAGGCGGCCCGGUAAGUCCGCUGUGAAAGUCGGGGGCUCAACCCUCGGAUGCCGGUGGAUACUGUCGGGCUUGAGUACGGAAGAGGCGAGUGGAAUUCCUGGUGUAGCGGUGAAAUGCGCAGAUAUCAGGAGGAACACCGAUUGCGAAGGCAGCCCGCUGGGACGUUACUGACGCUGAGACGCGAAAGCGUGGGGAGCAAACAGG
rnacentral:rRNA from 1 species